UUGGAAGUGACGACUGGUAAAAACAAUGAUAUUAACAGAUAUGUAUUUUUUUUAUUUUGAAGUUUGCAGAAUCCAAUAAACGUUCAAGCUUGGUAUUGCUGGAACAUCAUUCUCAAUAUACAAAGAGAUGAAAAUGCGAGGAGACGAACCCUAUUAUAUUCCGACGCAAGUGGUUUCCUUGUAAGCAACAGUGCAACAUCUUGUAAUUGUAUCAGUGAUUAUGUAUAUAAACUUUUAUACGAUGGCAACAUAUUAUCUUUUCAAAAUUGAUCAUAUUGACGUACAAAUAUUUGACUUU